rnacentral:rRNA from 1 species
UACGUAGGUGGCGAGCGUUGUCCGGAUUUAUUGGGUUUAAAGGGUGCGUAGGCGGCCCUGUAAGUCAGUGGUGAAAUAUCUCAGCUUAACUGAGAGGGUGCCAUUGAUACUGCAGGGCUUGAGUACAGAUGAAGUAGGCGGAAUUGACGGUGUAGCGGUGAAAUGCAUAGAUAUCGUCAAGAACACCGAUAGCGAAGGCAGCUUACUAAGCUGUAACUGACGCUGAGGCACGAAAGUGUGGGGAUCAAACAGG